rnacentral:lncRNA from 1 species
GCAAAUGCAUUAAUAGGAUAUGUAUUUGGUGAUAAUCCAAAUGCUAAAAUGAUGGAGAAUUUUGUGAUGCAUGUUUGGAACUUUGUGUCCAAACCUCAGAUUCUGUUGCAUGCUGAAGGCUACUGUAUAUUUCGGUUCAAUAGCAAAGAGGAUAAAGAGAUGGUUAUGCAAUCAGGGCCAUACUCGUUCUAUGGUGCUGAAACCAUGGGAGAUUGAUUUUUCCUUUCAAAAUGAUGUUCUCAGCACUGUACCUGUAUGGAUCAGAUUCCCUGGCCUUCCAGUGGGCUAUUGGUCUGUUGAUGUUCUGAGCAAAUUGGUCAGUGCAGUGGGCAAACCACUGUACACAGAUAAAUUCACUGCACAUUAUGAGAAAAUCUCUUUUGCGAGAGUUUUAGUAGAAGUUGAUGCUGCUUAUCCUUUACCUGACCAGGUUGAAAUGGAAACUCCUUUUGGUAUGAAAGUGCAAGAGAUUGAAUAUGAUUGGAAACC